AACCAUUAGGUUCAAAUGAUUCAUCUUGUAAAUUCUGACCAAACGUGUAAUUAGUUUUUAUUUUCGUUUAUAUUUAAUACUUUAUACAUGCGUUUAAAGAUUCGAUGCGAUGAAAAAUCUUGAAAAAAAAAUUGGUUUUUGAGAGACGGUCACGAGGCCAGCUUCGCUUCUUGCUUUACUCCUACAAUGCCUAACGAUCGAGGAUUCUUGGUCACACGUCUCCCUCUGCUACCGACCGACGACGCAUGCAUGCCGCCUUGCAGUCGUCGUAGCUAGCCCCCGCACACCGGGCGGCCCGGGCAACCGUCUGCAGGCCGGCGGCUAACCUAGCCCCGCUCCGCUAGAGUCUG
rnacentral:lncRNA from 1 species